rnacentral:rRNA from 1 species
GUUUGAUCCUGGCUCAGGACGAACGCUGGCGGCGUGCUUAACACAUGCAAGUCGAACGGAGAACUUAUUUCGGUAAGUUCUUAGUGGCGAACGGGUGAGUAACGCGUGGGCAACCUGCCCUCCAGUUGGGGACAACAUUCCGAAAGGGAUGCUAAUACCGAAUGUGCUCCCUCCUCCGCAUGGAGGAGGGAGGAAAGAUGGCCUCUGCUUGCAAGCUAUCGCUGGAAGAUGGGCCCGCGUCUGAUUAGCUAGUUGGUGGGGUAACGGCUCACCAAGGCGAUGAUCAGUAGCCGGUCUGAGAGGAUGAACGGCCACAUUGGGACUGAGACACGGCCCAAACUCCUACGGGAGGCAGCAGUGGGGAAUCUUCCGCAAUGGACGAAAGUCUGACGGAGCAACGCCGCGUGAGUGAUGAAGGUCUUCGGAUUGUAAAACUCUGUUGUUAGGGACGAAAGCACCGUGUUCGAACAGGUCAUGGUGUUGACGGUACCUAACGAGGAAGCCACGGCUAACUACGUGCCAGCAGCCGCGGUAAUACGUAGGUGGCAAGCGUUGUCCGGAAUUAUUGGGCGUAAAGAGCAUGUAGGCGGGCUUUUAAGUCUGACGUGAAAAUGCGGGGCUUAACCCCGUAUGGCGUUGGAUACUGGAAGUCUGAGUGCAG